rnacentral:rRNA from 1 species
CUACGGGUGGCUGCAGUAGGGAAUUUUCGGCAAUGGGGGAAACCCUGACCGAGCAACGCCGCGUGAGUGAUGAAAGUCUUCGGAUUGUAAAGCUCUGUUGUAAGGGAAGAACGGCUAGGAUAGGAUCUUAGAGUGACGGUACCUUACCAGAAAGCUACGGCUAACUACGUGCCAGCAGCCGCGGUAAUACGUAGGUAGCGAGCGUUAUCCGGAAUUAUUGGGCGUAAAGGGUGCGUAGGCGGCUUGUUAAGUUUAAGGUGAAAGCGUGGGGCUCAACCCCAUAAAGCCUUAGAUACUGGCAAGCUAGAGUACUGGAGAGGGUAGUGGAAUUCCAUGUGUAGCGGUAAAAUGCGUAGAUAUAUGGAGGAACACCGGUGGCGAAGGCGGCUACCUAGACAGAGACUGACGCUGAUGCACGAAAGCGUGGGGAGCAAAUAGGAUUAGAUACCCGCGUAGUC